ACUGACGCUCAUAUGCGAAAGCGUGGGUAGCAAACAGGAUUAGAUACCCUGGUAGUCCACGCCGUAAACGAUGUCAAUUAGGAGCUUGUGCGAUAGUAUGGGUUCCGCAGCAAACGCGAUAAAUUGACCGCCUGGGGAGUACGGCCGCAAGGUUAAAACUCAAAUGAAUUGACGGGGGCCCGCACAAGCGGUGGAGCAUGUGGUUUAAUUCGACGCAACGCGAAGAACCUUACCUGACCUUGACAUAGUGAGAACCUCUCUGAAGGGAGAGGGUGCCUUCGGGAGCUCACAUACAGGUGCUGCAUGGCUGUCGUCAGCUCGUGUCGUGAGAUGUUGGGUUAAGUCCCGCAACGAGCGCAACCCUUGUCCUUUGUUGCCAGCGGGUAAAGCCGGGAACUCAAAGGAGACUGCCAGUGACAAACUGGAGGAAGGCAGGGAUGACGUCAAGUCAUCAUGGCCCUUACGGUCAGGGCUACACACGUGCUACAAUGGGGCGUACAGAGGGAAACGAUACCGCGAGGUGGAGUGGAACCCACAAAGCGUCCCUAAGUUCGGAUUGGAGUCUGCAACUCGACUCCAUGAAGUCGGAAUCGCUAGUAA
rnacentral:rRNA from 1 species